CCCAAAUCAUAAAAUCAACCGAUCCCAUUUCUCCCAAAUCGUGGAACGCUACUAGUAGACUGAAGAGGGAAGCCAAAUUGCAAAAACCCUUUUUCAAUUUCUUCAAUUUUUCCUUUGUCGCAAUCGCCCCUGCCCUACACAGCUACACUGGCUACAUAGUACACAUGAGAAACGACAGUGCUGCCUACCAGAUUGUCGGUUCGCCCUACUCAGAUAUGGUCAAUUUUUAUAUUUUUGUAUUGUUUAUCUUUGUGACUUUGUGUGUUUGUUUAAUGGGUUAAUUUUGUUUGAUGUUUAAGUAAUAUAAAAUAAUGUAAAAUUUCUAUCUAAAAUUUGGAUUUAAGGGUUUUUUCUGACCCCGAUUCACGUCACGUGUAAGUGUAAUUAUAAGUUCACCAAAUUGUUUUCACUCUUCAGUGUCUAUUGACUAUUAUGACAUUAUGUAUUUAAUUAGAAAUGGAUUUUCUACCCAGAUUUGUAUUAUAUAUUUAAUUAGCAAGUACAGUGGUUCACUGGUUCGGAUUAGUUUUGGUCUAACACUUCCUCUUCUGACUUGUUCUGCCAAGAUUUGUUCACUGUAAUGAAUGAGAAAAGAGGUAUGUACCUACAUACGAGAGUGACGAGACACUUCUUCCUUCGUCUGUUCGCCGGUUCGCGGCCUAUGUGUAUAAUUGUAUCAAUUAGGCGUGAAAUUGGCAUCCCCCAUAGACAUUGAUAGAGUGUCCAAAUUUUAAGCAAAAUCGCAAAAUUCUUUGUCCACUUGGCGAGCAAGUUCUCUGGUUGGAGCCAAUAUUAAUGCUAAAUGAUUCCUUCCUCAGGUCAGUGACUUAAGUUAAUGUUAAAUAUGUUAUGAUUUAUUCAUUUGGGAAUUAAAAAAUUGCGAAUUGUGAUUUAUGAAUUAUGAUAAGUAAUUUAUGUUUUAUGAGUUAUGAUUAUUGAUUCGGGAAUUUAAGUUUACGAAAUUAUAUUUGCGAAUUGUGAUUUAUGAUUAGUAAUUUAUGUUUCGAUGAGGAAUUAUUAAUGAUUUGGGAAUUUAUGUUUAUGAAAUUAUGUUUGCGAAUUGUGAUUUCUGAAAAGUAAUUAAUGUUUUGUAAUUGAAAAAUAAUUUGGGGACAUUUUUCGGAUUAUGGAACAAUUUUUUUCAACUAAAACGAAAGUCCAGACCCAAUUCUUCUAUUUCUAGUUGUGCAUUUAGUCCCGCCACUUAUUCUAGUCGAGCACAAGAGUUAUUAAAUAACAUAAAAGAAGUCUCGGACUCAAUUCAAAGUAGAUGGUCUUGUAUCUGAUCUAGGGAUACACCCUCUAUCGAGUCAUAUGAUCCUAAUAUUAGAGAUGAUUUUAGGAUGACAUACUUGGAGAAGGUCAUUGUUAACCAUAUGGACAUGAUUUUCCAAGAAGACCAAUAGGGAAUGAUAAUAGAUGUUUUCGGAAAGAAUAAUUUUCCAAAUUUUAUUGGUUGGAAUACAGUAUAGAAAAGGAUGCCGACGUAUUGUUUGCAUUACUAUUUGUGCAAACCCGAUAGAGGGGGUGGACAUAUGUAUACUAAGACCGGCUUUAAGGAUUGGAAUCACAAAAAGACAUUGAAAGAUCAUGUCGGUCUCUUUGAUAGUGCUCAUAAUCAAGUUUUUGCAAAGUGUAUCAAUUUGAUGAAUCAAAAGAAAAGUAUCUCCUACAUUAUUUCUAGCCAAAGUUGUAGUCAACAACAAAUUUAUAGGACCAGGUUGACUGCGGUGCUAGAUUGCACUAGACUUCCCUUGAUGCCAUGAUUGUCAUUUCGUGGUCAUGAUGAAUCGAAAGAGUCUCUUAAUAAAGGAAAUCUAAUUGAGUUACUAGACUGGUAUGCAGCUCGUUGUAAGGAAAUUAAAGAAGUAUUAUUUAGUAAUACUCCUAAAAAUGACCAAAUGAUUUCACCAAUCAUCCAAAAUGAUUUGGUUAAUUGUUGUACCGUGGAGACGACAAGGGCUAUUAUCAAUGAGAUAGGUGAUUAUUUGUUUUUAAUUUUGGUUGAUGAGACUCGUGAUAAUUCUAUGAAAGAACAAAUGAUAGUUGUUUUGAGAUUUGUUGACAAGAGUGGGCAAGUGAAGGAGCGUUUUUUGGGUAUGUCCCAUGUCACUAAUACUUGUGCCUAAUCACUGAAGGAUGCCAUUGAUGCAAUGUUUUCUACAUAUGGGCUGAGCAUAUAUAGCCUGAGAGGUUAAGGCUAUGAUGGAGAAAGUAAUAUGUCAGGCGAUUUCAAUGGGUUGAAAGUUUUAAUUUUAAGAGAGAACUCACCUACUAUGUAUGUUCAUUGCUUUGCUCACCAACUUCGGUUGACAAUUGUAUCUGUGGCACAUAGGAAUUGUAUGCUUGGUGAUUUUUUCGACAUACUUGCUAUUAUUGUGAAUUUGGUUGGUGUAUCAUGUAAGCGUGUAGAUACUCUUUGAACAAGUUAUCAAGCUAAUAUUCUGGGGAAGCUUAAUAUUGGGGAACUUACUAGUGGAAGUAGUCAAUUUCAAGAAAUGAGUUUGGCAUGCCCAGGUGAUACUUGGUGGGGCUCACAUCUACUGACAAUUAUUCGUUUCAUUAAUAUGUUUAAUGCUAUCAUAGAUGUUCUUGAAAAUAUAUCUGAAGAUGGCAUACAUUCAAAUAAAAAAUCUUCGGCUGUAAAACAGAUAAAUGCCAUGCAAGAUUUUAAAUUUGUGUUCAGUCUCCAUUUUAUGUUUGAAAUUCUGGAAAUUACAGACGACUUUUCACAAGCCUUACGGAAAAAUGACCAGGAUAUUCAGAAUGCUAUAAGGUUAUUGAAUUUGUGUAAAUGUGCAUUGCAGAACCUGGAAGAGAAUGGUUGGGAUACUUUGUUGAGUAGAGUGAUUAAGUUUUGUGUUGAUAGACAUAUUUUAGUGCCCUAUAUGGAAGAUAUUGUAGUAGUGAAAGGUCAACCUAGGCGUGUAGCUCAGCAGGUGGCUUAUUUUCAUAACUUUUAUGUUGAUUUGUAUUGUCAUGGGAUUGACUCAAUCUUGCAAGAUUGAAUGAUUGUUUUCCAUAAACAAUUACUGAGCUCUUAACUUGCAUUUCAUGUUUAAGUCCAAGAGAUUCAUUUGCAACCUUCGAUAAGGAUAAAUUGCUACAUCUUGCUCAGUUCUAUACGUUGGACUUCACUAGUGAAGAGUUUUUAUUACUUAGACCUCAGCUUGAUAAGUUUCUUUUGCUUGUGAGAAUGGACGAAACUUUCUUUAAUCUCAAUAGCAUAUCUUGUAUAGCUCAGAAGUUGGUUGCAACUAGAAGUUCUUGUUAUUUUUCAUUGGUUUAUAGGCUUCUCACAUUGGCUUUGAUAUUACCUGUGGCAACUGCAAGUGUUGAAAGGGUAUUUUCUGUUAUGAAUCUAAUCAAGAGCGAUUUAUUCAACAAAAUGGGAUAGACUGGUUGAAUGACAAUUUGGUGAUUUAUGUGGAGAAAGCUAUUUUUAAAAAACUUGAGAAUGAGACAAUAUUGCAAUGUUUUCAAGUCAUGAGAUCUCGCAGAAUGCAGUUUCUAAGUUUACAGUUACAGAGUAACUGAGUAAUGUUGUAUUGUAUAUAUAUAUAUUUUUUUACCAUUUUGGGUUGUAUUGAAAUAUAAUUUCAUAUGUAUACGAUUUUGACGUUUUAGUUCAUUUACAUAUAUA